rnacentral:rRNA from 1 species
GGAUGAUGAUGCAAACGAGUUUCUGCCCUAUCAACUUUCGAUGAUAGUAUAGAGGACUAUCAUGGUUGUAACGGGUAACGGAGAAUUGGGGUUCGAUUCCGGAGAGGGAGCCCGAGAAACGGCUACCACUUCCAUGGAAGGCAGCAGGCGCGCAAAUUACCCAAUCCCAAUUCGGGGAGGUAGUGACAAGAAAUACUGAUAUAGGACCCUAAGGGUACUAUGAUCGGAAUGAGUACAAUUUAAAAACCUUAACGAGGAACAAUUGGAGGGCAAGUCUGGUGCCAGCAGCCGCGGUAAUUCCAGCUCCAAUAGUGUAUAUUAAAGUUGUUGCGGUUAAAAAGCUCGUAGUUGGAUUUCGAAUCUUACGAAUUGAAGUCUUUGGUGUAAUGCCAAGUGUACUGAAUCCGUAAUUCUCUAUUCUUUCGGAUACCGGUUAUUCGAGCCCUUAUUUGAGUUUCUUUUUAAUUUCAAUUAGGUAUGUGUUGAUAUUAUUCUUCUAUACUCUUUUUGAUUAUUGAUUAGUUAUCUUUGAAUUUGGAUCACUUGUAUAGCAUUUCAACGGUUCCGAAUCGUUUACUUUGAAGAAAUUAGAGUGUUCAAAGCAGGCAUAACCUAGCCAUGAAUACAUUAGCAUGGGAUAAUAAAAUAUGACCUCGGUCUUAUUUUGUUGGUUUCUAAGGCUAAGGUAAUGAUUAAUAGGGAUAGUUGGGGUCACUCGUAUUGAAUUGUCAGAGGUGAAAUUCUAGGAUCUAUUCAAGACGAACUACUGCGAAAGCAUUUGACAAGGAUGUUUUCAUUAAUCAAGAACGAAAGUUGGGGGAUCGAAGAUGAUCAGAUACCGUCGUAGUCUCAACCAUAAACUAUGUCGACUUAGGAUUCGAAGAUGUUACAUGGAUGACUCUUCGAGCACUAUGUGAGAAAUCACAAGUAUUCGGACUCCGGGGGGAGUAUGGUCGCAAGGCUGAAACUUAAAGGAAUUGACGGAAGGGCACCACCAGGAGUGGAAUCUGCGGCUUAUUUUGACCCAACACGGGAAAACUUACCAGGUCCGGAUGUUAGGAGGAUUGACAGAUUGAGAGCUCUUUCUUGAUUUAGCAGUAGGUGGUGCAUGGCCGUUUUUAGUUGGUGGAGUGAUUUGUCUGGUUAAUUCCGUUAACGAACGAGACCUUAACCUAUUAAAUAGUUGCGCGAACUUGAAUCAUGCGUCAUGUUAUCUUCGGAUAAUGUUUCCUCCAUGGUUCUAUCGUUCUGUGAAAACUUCUUAGAGGGACUCAUUACAUUUAUAGUAAUUGGAAGUUUGAGGCAAAAACAGGUCUGUGAUGCCCUUAGAUGUUCUGGGC